rnacentral:rRNA from 1 species
CACCACCGAAGCUGCGGAUUGAUACCAAUGGUAUCAGUGGUAGGGGAGCGUUCUAAGGACAGUGAAGUCAGACCGGAAGGACUGGUGGAGUGCUUAGAAGUGAGAAUGCCGGUAUGAGUAGCGAAAGACGGGUGAGAAUCCCGUCCACCGAAUGCCUAAGGUUUCCUGAGGAAGGCUCGUCCGCUCAGGGUUAGUCAGGACCUAAGCCGAGGCCGACAGGCGUAGGCGAUGGACAACAGGUUGAUAUUCCUGUACCACCUCUUUAUCGUUUGAGCAAUGGAGGGACGCAGAAGGAUAGAAGAAGCGUGCGAUUGGUUGUGCACGUCCAAGCAGUUAGGCUGAUAAGUAGGCAAAUCCGCUUAUCGUGAAGGCUGAGCUGUGAUGGGGAAGCUCCUUAUGGAGCGAAGUCUUUGAUUCCCCGCUGCCAAGAAAAGCUUCUAGCGAGAUAAAAGGUGCCUGUACCGCAAACCGACACAGGUAGGCGAGGAGAGAAUCCUAAGGUGUGCGAGAGAACUCUGGUUAAGGAACUCGGCAAAAUGACCCCGUAACUUCGGGAGAAGGGGUGCUUUCUUAACGGAAAGCCGCAGUGAAUAGGCCCAAGCGACUGUUUAGCAAAAACACAGCUCUCUGCGAAGCCGUAAGGCGAAGUAUAGGGGGUGACACCUGCCCGGUGCUGGAAGGUUAAGGAGAGGGGUUAGCGUAAGCGAAGCUCUGAACUGAAGCCCCAGUAAACGGCGGCCGUAACUAUAACGGUCCUAAGGUAGCGAAAUUCCUUGUCGGGUAAGUUCCGACCCGCACGAAAGGUGUAACGAUUUGGGCACUGUCUCAACCAGAGACUCGGUGAAAUUAUAGUACCUGUGAAGAUGCAGGUUACCCGCGACAGGACGGAAAGACCCCGUGGAGCUUUACUGUAGCCUGAUAUUGAAUUUUGGUACAGUUUGUACAGGAUAGGCGGGAGCCUUUGAAACCGGAGCGCUAGCUUCGGUGGAGGCGCUGGUGGGAUACCGCCCUGACUGUAUUGAAAUUCUAACCUACGGGUCUUAUCGACCCGGGAGACAGUGUCAGGUGGGCAGUUUGACUGGGGCGGUCGCCUCCUAAAGUGUAACGGAGGCGCCCAAAGGUUCCCUCAGAAUGGUUGGAAAUCAUUCGUAGAGUGCAAAGGCAUAAGGGAGCUUGACUGCGAGACCUACAAGUCGAGCAGGGACGAAAGUCGGGCUUAGUGAUCCGGUGGUUCCGCAUGGAAGGGCCAUCGCUCAACGGAUAAAAGCUACCCCGGGGAUAACAGG